CCCAAAUCUACAAUUUUGAAGAUAAAAGAAACCUAAAAAAGCCAUUCCGUAAGGAAUGGCCAUAUCUAUCAGAUCGACAAAUUGGCAUCCGAUUGGAUCAUUAUUAUAGCCAGAAUGAAGAAAUUAAUUUGCAGUGGCUAAACCCACCCUGUCCCGCAGCUUUUGUUGUUCUUUUCACAUUCUCUCGUUCACACUCUGCUUCUGCUUCACUGGGCCUCUUCCGUCCCUCUACCUCUUCCGACUUUUAACCCACCCCGUCCCGCAGCUUAUAUUUGCCUUGUUUGUGUGCGGGCGCUGCCUCUGCCUCUGCCGCGAGUCUGCAGUGUGUAAGUCUAGGGAAGGGCGGCGAGCUAAAGGAGCGUGUUGGUGUGAGAAGUGUUGUAGAUGUAGUUGAAGAACAAAUUUAAAAUUUGACAAAACACCACAAAGGUGCAGAUGUAGUACUGAGUGCCUGGUAUAAAAGUUGUGACGCGUAAGAAGCGUCUCACACGUCCCUUCUUGUUUCAUUGUCAACCAAUACGCGGGAGUAUGUGGGAGUAAGAACUUGGAACAUGAAAUUUGUUAAGAUGUUUGUUUUUGGCCUCAUUGUACAAAUAUAUGUGGUAACGAAUUUAAAGAUUACUAACGCGCGGCAUGAGUAAUUAACCUUCAGAGAGAUUUAUUUUUAUUUAGCAAAGAAAGAAGACGGUGCCGAAUUUUGAAAAUGCAAUUGUUCUACAAUUGGAACGUAACCAGGUGAGCCCAUCAUGUACUUAGAUCAUCGAUCCCGCUUGCUUGUAGGCUUGCUCCAAAAUUAAAUAUAGUCUAUACUGGCCAUCGUACUAUGGAUAAUUUGACCACUUUUUGUGGCAAAAAUUAACAACUUGGAAAAAACAAAUUUUUU
rnacentral:lncRNA from 1 species